UCCACAGAACUUUCCAGAGAUGGAUUGGUGCCUUCGGGAACUGUGAGACAGGUGCUGCAUGGCUGUCGUCAGCUCGUGUUGUGAAAUGUUGGGUUAAGUCCCGCAACGAGCGCAACCCUUAUCCUUUGUUGCCAGCGGUUCGGCCGGGAACUCAAAGGAGACUGCCAGUGAUAAACUGGAGGAAGGUGGGGAUGACGUCAAGUCAUCAUGGCCCUUACGACCAGGGCUACACACGUGCUACAAUGGCAUAUACAAAGAGAAGCGACCUCGCGAGAGCAAGCGGACC
rnacentral:rRNA from 1 species